GUUGUGUUUGAUGAGGUAAGGAAACCAAACCUGUCUUGGCAAAGCUGAUGCAAUCAAUCAAAAUGAACUUGGCUUGGUCCUGCUUGAUCUUAGUGAGGACUUUUAAAGCAGUGGAGCUAGAGGAUAUGCAUGCAAUGAAGAAAGCAACUUCUAGAGAUUGUUCCGUUUAGAACAGAAUUUCCUGCCCUUUGUGUUGGCUGCCAUAACUGAAAGGUUAACCUCUGGAAAUUCCCAAGCUAGGAAUAUUUUGCUGAGGAUUCAAGAGGCCAACUCCCAUUCAUAAUUUAGGGAGAAAUGUCUGCUGAGGUUGUCUGCCCAUGGUUUUGUAAACCCAUCAGAUUAAUAUGCAUGUGUUGUCCUGUUGUGAGCAUUUGCCUUGGACUGUACGAGGAUUCAAAUGUGCUCCCCAUCCAAAGAGGGAAGUGUCUGAUGUUAACAUGACCACAGGGAGAUUGUGGUUGAAUGGGACUCCUGCACAAACAUUGGAAGGAUUCUUCUACCAGGAUCUUCCCUUAGAAGAAGUGCAGAUCUUGCACUUGCUGGGGAUAUGAGAGUCUCCGAAACAAUGUAUGUACUGGGAAUGCCCAUCGGCCAUCACCAAGGGGGACAGCUUCUUGAAACAAGAGGCAUCCCAGACAGAAGAAAAAUUUGUUUGGACCCCUUAAUAGGGGAAAAAUUAAAACAUAAUUAUACACACACAUUUUUAAGAAAAGAAAAGCACGAACAACCAUUCCAAUAACUAUAAGGUUACUAACUAAAUAUACUACUACUAAAGAACUAACUACUAAUGCAAAGCACAAAUAGGCACACACUAAACUCCAACUCUGGCUGAAGGUGGUUGAGAAGGAACUGAGGGCAGUUUGCCCAUGCAACCUUAUAUAGCCUCAAUAUAGGGCACAAGAAUAGGUAGGGCGCAUGCAGGUCAAACUGGCACUGCUACCACAAAGUCGCAGGGCGCAUGCUCACCUGAAGUGGAGCACCCACAGCGCCACUACUCAAAGAAGAAUCUAUUUUACUGAAACAUUAAGCUUGCACAAGUAAGCAUUCAUUUGUUAGAAAGUGAAAAAGUUAAGGUUGAUUGUGAAACCUAACUCUGUCCCCACUGAACAUAUACAUUACAGUACAGUCUACAAGCCUGAUUCACCACUACAUUACUCAAAUUUAGCCUUAGAUUCACACUGGCGUAAAGAUGGAGUUACACACUGGUGAAUCAGGCAUUAUAAAUUUAUGAGCACAUCAUCUUAGAUCCCAAGGUGUAUUUAAGGUUGGCUAGAUAAGUGGUGAGCCGAGAUCUCUGCUUAACAUACAAUAACUUUUGCCUAAUCCUCUUCUUCCCCCACAUUUGUUUGCCUUGUCCACUGGUCCUGUCUUAGCAUAAUUUAGACUGCAAGUUCCUUGAGGUCAGGAUCAUCUUUUCAAUGUGUGUUUGUACAGUGCUAACACAAUGGGACCCCAGUUCUGGAUCGGGGUUCUUAGGCACUACUGCAAUACUGAUAAUAAAUAAAAAGAAUAAGAUUGUAGAAAAAUUGUAUUAUAUUGUGAUUCAUUAUUGAGAAAUAGUGUGUGUUCCCUUGGAUCUGCACCAAAACAUGUUUUCUGUAAAACAGGAAGUAUAUUAAAAAAAAAAAAAAAGGCAGCAGGCACUUUUUCCAAAAUAGUGGUGGCUCCUAAAAUGAAGACUUAGGAAGAUGUGAAAAGCAAAAUAAAAGAGCAUAUCUGA